rnacentral:lncRNA from 1 species
AUGAGCAGACGUGGAAGACACCUGAAGCCAACCAAGCAACUGAAGUUUCUAUCUAAUAAGGGCCAAGCAUUACACAGUCAAAGUUACUGGUGUCAAAAGGACGGCAGGGAUGUCAAUGACAGUAUUCUCUGAAGACACUGGGAACACUAGCAGUUUGCCUCCUUGGCUGAAAUGGUAAGGCUGCCUGUUAAAAAAUAUUUUUCUACUCAUCAGCUGGUCAUGUUUGAUAUGGAGUCAUUGAGACAUAAUAAGUA